AAAACAAUAAAAAGUUUAAUAGAACACAGACAUUUUCUAGAUCUAAGAAAAUAAGCAAGUAAAGAACCUCAGACAGCUUAGGGUUUCAGAGAAAACCCUAGAAAUGAGAAAGGCUUGAGGAAAGUCAGAUCUUGAGUCGAAAAGGCUCAUAGUUCUUGAAUAUGCCGGGGUAAUGGCCGGAUAAGCGAUAGAUCUACAGAUCUAAGAAGGAUCUGAAGGAGAUCCAUCAAGGUCAGGUCUCGAAGUUUCGAACAACCAUGGUUUACUGAUGGAGGGGAGUGAGUACCAACCAUUCAUGGCCUGAGAAGCCAUGGAGGGGUGGUUGAAGAGGGGUAGAAGGAGGAUGGGGUUUGAGAGAGUUUGAGAGACGAGAGGUUUCAUAGGAACCUGAGAGAUGGGAAAUG
rnacentral:lncRNA from 1 species